GCAGUGGUGGUUCAGUGACAGAAUUCUCACCUUCCACGUGAGAGAGCUGGGUUUGAUUCCCAGUCAAGGUA
rnacentral:tRNA from 1 species